CACCCUGCAGCACUCUACACCCUACAACAGUCUACACCCUGCAGCAGUCUACACCCUGCAGCAUUCUACACCCCACAACAGUCUACACCCUGCAGCAGUCUACACCCUGCAGCACUCUACACCCUACAACAGUCUACACCCUGCAGCAGUCUCUCGGGUGCGAUACCAUUGUGCCUGAAACAACGUACGCUCCUUAGUUGAAAGAGACUUUCUCUAUGGCUAAAAACGCUCACUGCCUUCUGAGCCUUCGGGACUUGCGACCCUCCCGCUGGCGGGGCUCCGGCCCGGACCUGGGUGGCUGGAGGUUGGGGUGUGUCUGGGAAUCUCCUUCAACAAGGCAGCAGUGAAGUUCACCGUGUGGCUCGACGCCUCCUUUCAUGAACAAUUUCUCUGCAGCAUGCGACGCUCUUGACCGCAUUUGACCACUGUCGAACUUCAUCAGCUGCGCGCACCCUCAGUCCUUUGUUGUCACCCCGACAGCCUCACAGCACCAUCAGCGGGAGCAGAUCCCCGCUGAACAUCGAGACCACAGUCUUUGCUCAUCAUGACAAGCAGAGACUCAUCUGUUCAGAGAUUCCGCAGCGACCUCUCCACUGACCUCUUGAACCCAUCUCAGACCUCCGUGAGCCUUGGAAUCCGCUUCUCCCACAUUCCUGUCAAUGUUGACAUUUGACCUCUUCCCGUGAAUCAUAGAUGUUCUUCGUGGCGUCUAGAACGGACUUGAAAGUCGAAAUUGCUGUCUGAUCCGUGGGCUGCAGGACCGGCUGCGUUAGGGGCAUGAAACCAACUUUAACCUCAGGGCACGUGUCGUCGGGGCUCCUGCGUGUCCAGGCGCAUCACCCGUGAGCAGCGGUACUUUGAAAGGAAUCUUUCUUCCUGAGCAGGAGGUCUCAAAAACGGACUUGAAAUAUUCAGUAAACUGAACGCCCUCCGACGUGCUGUCGCCCAGGCUUCGUCAUCCCCUGAUGGGUCACGGAGACAGGAGACCCCGCCUGGUUCUUAAGAGCCCUAGAUUUUAACCUGCUUCGGCUUUCAUCACGCCUUCCUCGCCAAGCUGAGUCUCUGCUAGAUUUUGAGUUCGAGUGGCAGGUGCGUGACUCUUCCUUUCGCUCACUUAGAGGCCGUUGUAGAGGCAGUAACGGGCCUAGUUUCAAUUUUGUUGUAUCUGAGGAAACAGGGAGGCCCAACAGGGAAAGAGACGGAGGGGCUGGUUGUUAAAGCAGCCAGAACACGCAGUUACUGUUUGCCCUCUUAUUCGGGGGCGCUUUGUGGUGCAACGGUCACGUCGAACACUGCUGAUCACAGAUCGCCGUAACAAAUACGAUGCAAUACAGUGAAACAGUUUGGAAUAUUGGGUGAAUCACCGAAAUGUGACACAGAGACCAGGAGUGAGCAGAUGGCAUGGGGACACGGCGCCGGAAGACUUGCUUGAUGCAGGGCUGCCGCGAGCCUUCAAUCCGCAGGACACACCGUAUCCACUCAGAGCAAGAGGGAUGAGAGCAAUGAGGCGCCGUGUGACGGCCGCCCCUGCAGGUGUUCCCAGGUGAACCGGGGAACGCAGAUGGGGCAACACGAAUGUGAGCGCACGUCUGCAGGUGUGAGUGACUUCCCAGGAUGGCUCUUGGGUAGCCCGGACUUCGCUGGACGUCGGAGUCAUCUGGGGAUGCCCAGGUGCCACCCUGUCCCGCUAACGGCACAGUGUGCGCAGUGACCGGGGAAAGCCUACGUUUCCUCAAGGCUCCCAAGCGAUUCAGCGAGCGGUGGAAUCUGAGAACUACUGUCCUAGUAGCUAUUUCGUGGGGCUGGCGGGUGUCUGGAGGAGAGUGACCCUGAUAAGUAAUGGUCUGGGGCUCAGGGGUGGAGCUUUGGCCCAGGCUCAGGGCUUGACCCCGGGGUCCCGGGAUCGAGUUCCGCAUCGGGUCCCCACAGGGAGCCUGCUUCUCUGUCUGCCUGUGUCUCUGCCUCUCUCUCUGUG